AAAGUCGGCCAGGCAAUCGCUGGACACGCAAGUGUCGGGAGGAAAGUCCGGGCUCCAUUGGGCAGGAUGCCAGCUAACGGCUGGGUGCUAUAAGUCGCAAGACCCAAGGCAACGGAAAGUGGAACAGAGAGUAGACCGCCUGUCGGGGCAACUCGGCGGGUAAGGGUGAAACGGCGAGGUAAGAGCUCACCGCGUCGGCGGUAACGUUCGACGGCACGCUAAACCCCAUCCGGAGCAAGACCAAAUAGGGAAGCAUUAGGCGUGGCCCGCGCUGCUUCCGGG
rnacentral:RNase_P_RNA from 1 species